rnacentral:rRNA from 1 species
UACGUAGGGCGCAAGCGUUGUCCGGAAUUAUUGGGCGUAAAGAGCUCGUAGGUGGCUUGUCGCGUCUGCCGUGAAAGCCCAUGGCUUAACUGUGGGUCUGCGGUGGAUACGGGCAGGCUGGAGGCUGGUAGGGGCAAGCGGAAUUCCUGGUGUAGCGGUGAAAUGCGCAGAUAUCAGGAGGAACACCGGUGGCGAAGGCGACUUCCUGGCCUGUUCUUGACGCUGAGGCGCGAAAGCUAGGGUAGCAAACGGG